rnacentral:rRNA from 1 species
GGCUGAAUAACGCGUAAGUAACCUACCCCCGAGUGGGGAAUAACUCCGGGAAAUCGGAGCUAAUACCGCAUAAUCCGGCAUAACGGCAAAGGUUUCGCGCUUGGGGAUGGGCUUGCGUUCUAUCAGGUAGUUGGUGAGGUAAAGGCCCACCAAGCCAAUGACGGAUAGCUGGUCUGAGAGGAUGAUCAGCCAGAGGGGGACUGCGACACGGCCCCCACUCCUACGGGAGGCAGCAGCAGGGAAUCUUGCGCAAUGGGCGAAAGCCUGACGCAGCGACGCCGCGUGCGGGAAGAAGGCCUUCGGGUUGUAAACCGCUUUUCUGAGGGAAGAGCGGUACCUCAGGAAUAAGCCUCGGCUAACUACGUGCCAGCAGCCGCGGUGAUACGUAGGAGGCAAGCGUUGUCCGGAUUUACUGGGCGUAAAGGGCGUGUAGGCGGUACAGAAAGUCUUUGCUUAAAUAUCCCGGCUCAACUGGGAGA